rnacentral:SRP_RNA from 1 species
GCCAGGUGUGGUGGUGUGCACCUGUAGUCCCAGCUACUUAGGAGGAGGAGGUGGGAGGAUCGCUUGAGCCCAGGAGUUCGAGGCUGCAGUGAGCUGUGAUCACGCCACUGUACUCCAGCCUGGGCAACAGAGCAAGACCCUAUCUCAA